AAUUAUUAAGCUUUGAUAUAGCAUUUGUUUUGAAAACUUAAGAAAGAAAUUUUAUUCUAAUAAUUU
rnacentral:tRNA from 1 species